rnacentral:lncRNA from 1 species
ACUUCUACACCGUGUUACGAGAACAAAAACUUUCACACGUUCCAGCCUUAUAACAAGUCCGGCGUCAUUGUUGACCAAAACUACCAAGUUAUUUAUGCGGACUGCAACACCUGCUACGUACUUCGUCAUCCAUAUGCUGAAAACGGUUACGGUUGCACCUUGUGGCGGCGGUCAUCGACGUUGCAACAGGCAGGCGACUGCUGCGAGUUCAUCUACGCCGAGAACUGCGGCACGACGCCAAAGUACCAGAUAUACCAGCCGUCGUGUUUUCCAGGACUGGGGAUGCCGGCAUCUUAGGGCAAUGCUUGAGUG